ensembl:lncRNA
AGGAAGGAAAGAAGAAGGGAAGGGAAGGAUGCAGGAAGGAAGAUUUCCAUCCACAUGUGACACUUGCUGUUAUUUUGCUUUCAGUAAAACCAUAAAGAAGGAAAGUGAACCUAUGCGGUCUGGAGGUAAAGAAAUGGGUCAAAAGAUAAAACAUGGAAGGCAGCUAAAUUUGAAGAGGGAACUCCGUGUAAGGGUGCUGGGGGAUGGUGGGGGGAAGAGACUGGGUUUGGGUGUCUUUUUCCCUCUAUUAUGCUGGCUCCCAUGUGGAUACAGACAGGAAUGUCAAGUGAUUUGUGUCCACAGGAAAAUCCAGGCUCAAGCCCUUUUCACUUUUGUAUAGGAUUAGGCUCACUGUCCGGAGAAGGCAAUGGCACCCCACUCCAGUACUCUUGCCUGGAGAAUCCCAUG